GCACACACGAGUUGCAGCAAACCACGCGGCGAACCAACACGUUGUCCCCCCCCUUCCGGUGGCCUCGGCCGCGGCGGCUAAACCCCGUCGCGUCCGUCGUCGCCGCGUCGGAAUUUUGCUACCGAAUCACUUCGACCAAAUGACUUAGUCCCAUUUUGGACCCCUUAACUUCUAGUUAGGGGGCGAGAUGAACAUAAAGUUGUGAACACAACUCUCAGCAACGGAUAUCUUGGCUCCUGCAACGAUGAAGAACGCAGCGAAAUGCGAUACCUAGUGUGAAUUGCAGAAUUCCGCGAAUCAUUGAGUCUUUGAACGCAAGUUGCGCCCGAGGCUCGACCGAGGGCAUUUCCGUUAGAGCGUCACCGCGCGCCCCCACCGAGCUCCCCAACCAAGGGAGGAGGAGUUCGAGUGCAAUUGGCCGUCCCGAGUUUGUUGCCCUUUGUUGUGGAAUCGGAAUCGGGUCGGCCGAAGUACCUUGGCAGACUCCGUGGCGACACGGCCCACGAUCGGGUGAUCCGAGCCCUUCUAAAGGGGCUCGGAAUUUUUCUAAGUGUGCGGCCGCGCCGCCCCGUGUGUCCCGAAGGAGAGUGUUACAUUGAAGUGAGCAGUGGAACCAGAGUGUUACCAGAGUUACGCACCAGACCUCUAAUC
rnacentral:rRNA from 1 species